CAGGUCUGGAGCUGCCAGGGGCUUUGGGAAUCCGCCAGACUCUGGAACUUGUGAGGAUUAGAUCACAGUCCCACAUCCUGUGGGUUGGAGUCGAUGUUGUUGCUGCUGGAAGGAAAGUAAAUUCUUUCUUCUUCCAAACCAGGCUACGAGAAGCUGCAAACUGUGGGUUCUCCAUUCAGUAAAGGCGCUAAAGACCAUGACAUUAUUCAACACUUGAACUACUGUUCUUUAGAGCUGAACUCUUGGAUCUGAGAAUUGCUGAAAAAAGCACUUGUUGAGGAGGGAUCUUCUAGAGGCCAGCAUUUAUUGCCUCCUCCAAAUUGUACUUGACAAGAGGAUGGUGAAUUACUGCCUUGAAGCACUGCAGUUGUUCUGGUUUAAAAGAUGAAGCAGAAACUGGGAGCCAACAAGAAAG